rnacentral:rRNA from 1 species
AUUGAACGCUGGCGGCAGGCUUAACACAUGCAAGUCGAACGAGUGGCGGACGGGUGAGUAAUGCAUGUGCAUCUUGCUUAUGGAUGGGGAUAACUACGGGACACUGUAGCUACUACCGCGUACCAUAGCAUGAGCCCAAGUGGGAUUAGGUAGUUGGCGGGGUAAAGGCUCACCAAGCCGACGAUCUCUAGCUGGUCUGAGAGGAUGACCAGCCACACUGGGACUGAGACACGGCCCAGACUCCUACGGGAGGCAGCAGUGGGGAAUAUUGGGCAAUGGGGGCAACCUGACGCAGCCAUGCCGCGUGAAUGAAGAAGGCCUUCGGGUUGUAAAGUUCUUUAGGUAGGGAGGCGUUAACUACAGAAGAAGCACCGGCUAACUCCGUGCCAGCAGCCGCGGUAAUUC